rnacentral:rRNA from 1 species
AAUCGAACGAAGCCUUUUAGGCUUAGUGGUGAACGGGUGAGUAACACGUAUCCAAUCUACCCUUAAGUUGGGGAUAACUAGUCGAAAGAUUAGCUAAUACCGAAUAAUAACAUCAAUAUCGCAUGAGAAGAUGUAGAAAGUCGCUCUUUGUGGCGACGCUUUUGGAUGAGGGUGCGACGUAUCAGAUAGUUGGUGAGGUAAUGGCUCACCAAGUCAAUGACGCGUAGCUGUACUGAGAGGUAGAACAGCCACAAUGGGACUGAGACACGGCCCAUACUCCUACGGGAGGCAGCAGUAGGGAAUUUUUCACAAUGGGCGCAAGCCUUAUGAAGCAAUGCCGCGUGAACGAUGAAGGUCUUAUAGAUUGUAAAGUUCUUUUAUAUGGGAAGAAACGCUAAAAUAGGAAAUGAUUUUAGUUUGACUGUACCAUUUGAAUAAGUAUCGGCUAACUAUGUGCCAGCAGCCGCGGUAAUACAUAGGAUGCAAGCGUUAUCGGGAUUUACUGGGCGUAAAACGAGCGCAGGCGGGUUUGUAAGUUUGGUAUUAAAUCUAGAUGCUUAACGUCUAGCUGUAUCAAAAACUGUAAACCUAGAGUGUAGUAGGGAGUUGGGGAACUCCAUGUGGAGCGGUAAAAUGCGUAGAUAUAUGGAAGAACACCGGUGGCGAAGGCGCCAACUUGGACUAUCACUGACGCUUAUGCUCGAAAGUGUG